ensembl:lncRNA
AAACGUUUGACCCAAAUUAAACCAUUUAAAGGCAAUGCUACUAAAUACUAAUUGAGUGUAUGUAAACUUCUGACCCACUGGGAAUGUGAUGAAAGAAAUAAAAGCUGAAAUAAAUAUUUCUGUCUUCGAUUAUUCUGACAUUUCACAUUCUUACAAUAAAGUGUUGAUCCUAACUGACCUAAGACAGGGAAUCAUUGUUGUUGAAUGUUUGCGCUCACUCAAACACAAAUAAAGAUGCAUUCUUUGGAGGCGGGACUGAGACAGGUAAUGGAAGGAACCGAUUUCAAAAUGAAAACGUGAUUUCUACAGACACAGACAAUUCAAUAUUUUCACCCCGUCACAUUCGUCGAUACGACGAGACCAAGGCGCAGCGUGAUUGGAAUACAUUCUUCUUUUAUUAAAACGAAGAACACUUAAACAAACUAACAAAAUGAACGUGAAGCUAUAAACAACUAGUGCUGACAUUUAACUACACAUAGAAAAUAACCCACAAAAUACCCAAGGAAUAUGGCUACCGAAAUAUGGUCCCCAAUCAGAGACAACAAUAAACAGCUGCCUCUGAUUGGGAACAAAUCUAGGCAACCAUAGACAUAUGAACACCUAGAUAUACAAAAAAACCUCGACAAUACAAAAACUACACAUACCACCCUCGUCACACCCUGACCCCGGACUGGGGACCGUUGCUAGAGUCCCUGGGCUGUGGCCCGUCGUUGGAGGUUCCGGACUGUGGCCCGUCGUUGGAGGUUCCAGACUGUGGCCCGUCGUUGGAGGUUCCGGACUGUGGCCCGUCGUUGGAGGUUCCGGACUGUGGCCCGUCGUUGGAGGUUCCAGACUGUGGCCCGUCGUUGGAGGUUCCGGACUGUGGCCCGUCGUUGGAGGUUCCGUCUGUGAACUGUCGACGAAAGCUCUGGACUGGGUACUGUCGCCGGUCGCUCUGGACUGC